CAUGAAAUUAUGUUAAUAUUAGUCAAAUAAAAUCUAUGUAUAACGUUAAUUAAUAUGUAUUAUAAGUACAGUCAAAGAAUUUAAUUUGUGACCCAUUUCGUACCUUAUCACAGUGACAAUAGUAUGAGGUCUCUAGCGAGUUUCAUGUUGUUUGUCACUGUGACAAGGUACGAAAUGGGUAAGAAAUUAAAUUCCUUGACCGUACCAACCAAUACCAACCUGAUUACGUUAUAACCUACAAUUAUACAUGCCUGCCUACAUAUUUUACAUCACGUAAAAAGGUAAAAUAAGAAUAAAUAUUUUUAUUUUUAUUCUUAAUAAUAUUUAAACGAAGAAAUAAAUUUAAAAUAUAUUUCUAAGACCCGUGUUCAAAUUCAAUUCUAAUUCAAACGAAUAAAGAUACUUUGGAAUUUGUGGGGAUUGAUAGAAAUUAAACUGGCAAUACUAUAUCGUUGACUUGCACUGCAGAGUGCCUACCGCGAACCACAUUCGACGUGUUGCCUCCCUGUCACAUUUACGUACGAAGUUACAAGUGCGACAGAGAGGCAACACGUCAAUGGUGGUCCGCGGUAGGCCCUCUCCUCUGUUUCGGAACGGAACAUACUGUGGUGUCUGUGGUUAGUGUGGUUUCGUUUCGGUAUUUGACUCCUGCGUAUGCGCUCCUUGUUAUUCAUUACUUUUUAUUCAUUGUUUUGUUUUUUUGUUAUUUGACUUCGGCAUUCUCUACGGACUUACGAUUGCUCCACGAUACGGAUUUGUUGACAAGGGAUAACGACAACAAGGCACACUGAACGGACAAAGAAACACAAAAAACAUGGCUCCUGGCCGGCGCUGUCAAUACAUAAAUUGCCUAAAUACAAGCGGAACUCAUUCAUUAUUCCGUUUUCCAGUAAAGGAUACAAAUCGUCUACGAACAUGGAUAAACAAUUCAGGAACUGCAGUUGAAGUGACACCUGAUACAUCACCACAAAAAUUAAA